CCGCACUGUACGUAACCUGGUUCACUCGCAGUAUGAGCUUUGGGUUCCAUUCCAGUGCUAAAGUGAUCCCCAUUGAGGCAGGGGAGCAGUCUCGUUUUGUGCUUGCUCCCUGUUCACUCUCUGGAUACACUU
ensembl:snoRNA